CAUGCAGCGGCCCCUUGGAACCGAGCUGUGCUGGAGCAGAGAAAGGCUGUGGGUGCGGAGGGACCGCUGGCUUCGUGGCGAUGUCGGGCAAACAGCAGAGACGGUGAGACGUGGCCACCCUGGCUGUCGCCGCGACUCCCCCAACUCCUCGCGGAGUGAUGCCUCGCGGCCGUGGUACUAGACGCCGCCGGAAGAUGGCGCACGAAGCUACCGACUCAAUCGAGGGUACCGAGAGCUACUUUGGACUAGGUGG